rnacentral:lncRNA from 1 species
AGUCCUUCAACUCAGCCCAAGCCCCAGUUGCCUCUAUAGCUAUCUUUUGUUCUCAUAAUGUUUACUUUCACUUUCUCUUCAAAUUUCAUUUCAAUUGAGGCAGGUCUGUGCAUGCCCUACCGAGGUCCCGAGUCAAGCAGAAGACACCGAAUCUCCCCGCUGCAGACAGGCAGGUCUGCCCACGCCCUACCGAGGUCCCCAGUCCUGUGGAACAUGCCAAAUCAGCCGGCUGCUGACAGGCAGGUCUCUGCACACCUUACCGAGGUCCCGAGUCAUGUGGAAGAUGCCAAAUCACCCGACUGCAGACAGGCAGCCACCUGGUUCCACACUACAAAGACACAGAGGACACCAGACCACCAGACCAAGAUCCUCUUUGGUCUAACAUCAACUUACCUCCCAACAUUAUCUGCCAUUGCGAUGUUCAUGCUUUGUAAAUUUUGAAAAAUAAAAUGCAUGUCCUCAUUUUCUGCCAUUUGUUUUGCCUUUUCUUAGAAUGUACUCUCUGCCUAUCAUGAGAUCUUUUGCCAGAGCUAAGAUCUUGGUAAAUUUCAAGGCCCAAAGAUACUUCAGUCCUCUCAGUUGGAAUUAUCCUUCUGUUGAAAAGAUGGCUGUAGUUCUUAUAUCUAUCUCAUAUUAGCUUCUCUCCUUUGAAUCUCCUUAU